rnacentral:misc_RNA from 1 species
AACGCAUAUUGCACUCUCUGGCAUUCCGGAGAGUAUGCCUGUUUCAGUAUCAUAGAUCAGAUUCAAAUCUCUUUCUUUUUUUGAAGGGAGGUUUGGAAGUGAGUUUUGCCGGUUUUUUCGGCUGGCUUUAAAUUCUGUCAUGACCAGGGAUGCGGAUCCUAUAAAAAGCGUAAUAGCUGACCUACUUUUGUGAGCAUCUUUCGCUGGCAAGGACCGUCUUCAAAGUGGUGAUUGCAGGAGAAAACCAGAACAUGAUUUGUUCUGAACUUGAUCUGAAAUCAGGUAGGACUACCCGCUGAACUUAA